rnacentral:rRNA from 1 species
UACGUAGGGUGCGAGCGUUAAUCGGAAUUACUGGGCGUAAAGCGUGCGCAGGCGGGCUUUUAAGCCAGACGUGAAAUCCCCGGGCUUAACCUGGGAAUGGCGUUUGGGACUGGGAGUCUGGAGUACGGCAGAGGAGACUGGAAUUCCUGGUGUAGCAGUGAAAUUCGUAGAUAUUCGCAAGAACACCAGUGGCGAAGGCGGCUCACUGGCCCGGUACUGACGCUGAGGUGCGAAAGCGUGGGGAGCAAACAGG